UGUCUCUUCAUUUCAACUUGGUCCUUUCCUUUGUACUAACACAUCCUUAUUUGAAGUUCAUCUCUCUCUCUCUCAUCGUUGUUCUUUAUCAUUUAAGAUUUGAGUUUUCUUUCUUAAAAGCUUUUACUUUAUGAGUUUUGAGAUCUAACAAUAGAAUUAAAACGAAAUGAAAGAAAGCAAAUGUGCCUGUUGGUUUUAAUCUUUGCAUGAUUCUUCCAAGACAUUAGACGAUGAUUUUCCUCCUACCACGAUGGUUUCAGAAAGGUUGUCGGAUGCUACUUAUGGCUAACUGAGAUAAUGGUUCUUCCCGAUCAAGAUUUUUAAUGUUAGUAGAGGUUCAUGAAGAUGGAGAAUAAGAUGAGAAAAUGGAUGAUGAUAAAUAUUUUCAGUGUCAAAGAAGGUUACAAUGGUCCUUCGUUGGUAACUACAACAAAGCAUAAACGUGUUUUCUUUGGGAGACAAAAGACGGAGAAUGGGAAGAAAAUAAAUGGACGUCUUCAAGUUUUUAGUGAUGUAGAGAUUAUUUUUGAGUAAAAAGUAGAAUAGAGAUUCUAAUUCUAUUCUAAGUGUAGAUUAGAUUAUGUAUGGUUCAUAUAUAUUGAUGUUUCUGAUUUUGUUUCUUA